rnacentral:snRNA from 1 species
GUUCUGGCUUCAGCAGCAUAUAUAUUAAAAUUGAAACAAAACAGAUUAGCAUAGCCCUGCAUAAGGAUGACAUGUAAAUUCAUGAAGCGUUCCAUAUUUUU